GAUCAGCCUGCAAUCCCGGCUGGAGGCAGGCGCAGGACUUGGAGAGAGCCAGACGCACACGCUCACACAUAUACUCACAUACAUGAGUCCGAUACCUUCUCCGACUUACGAGGGUCUUGGGUCGCCGUGCCUGCUCCUCAUGUGAUCCUUUCAUCAUUUCCAGAGGACAGAAAGAGACAGAAAAAAAAAAAGCUAACAACCAAAAAAACCCAAAAAAAAACCAGAAAGAAAAAGAAAGAAACCCCAAGACCAAGCGUAGCCGCGGUCCCCUCUCGUUUAUUUUUUUACCGGAGAAGGAGGAACGGCGGGGGAAAGAGAGAGCGAAUCGAGGAGAGAAAGUGCGUUGGGAAUGCCAGAGCCGUGGGCUGCGCGCCGGAGGAGGAGGUGGCGGAGCAGGGGGUAGGACGAUGCCGCCGUGCAAGGGCGGAGGAAGGCGCGGGAGGCGCGGGGGUCGCUCGGAGCUCGGCGGCCGGCGGGGAACGGGCCCGCGGGGCCGGCCGGGAGCGGCGCCGGGCGGAGGGCGGCGGCCAGCACCGAGGAGCGGCGGCGGCAAAGUUUUGGUGUGGGGGGCCAGAGGCGCGGAGGGGAAUUACGAUCGGUGCCGGCGAGGGAUUCCCAGACACCGCCAGGAAACAUGCAAGGUAUUCUAGUGGAGUCCAAAGGAGUUUUUUUCUCUACAAUGUGUUUGAUAUGUCAACAGAAAUUCCUCACCAAACAUCAGACCAAGGGAGCAGCUUUUCAUCACCUCAAACUUCUGUGGUAAAAUAACACAUGUGAUAUCAAAAAUAAUAUCAUAAUAAAUCUUGAAUAGGUAUCUAACACCCAAAUGCAUGUCAGAAGCUCUUUGCUGUUGUAUAUCUGUGGGAGGCUCCACCAGCUAUGCCUUGUACAUAGGGAAUGCAAAAAAAAGUCUGUGGUUACCCUUUCAUUUGUGCCCUCAGAAGAUAAGCAUCCAUAAAAAGCUCUUUGAUCCUCUGGAUUUAGAUAACAAUGUUGUAAUUAAUUAAUGAAUGGCUAUUUUUACAAUAUAAUUGACUUAUGUCCCCUUACCAGAGUCAGCUGAACACCAGUAUUUGCCAGCAGUCAAAAAUUAAUUUUGCAAAACGUUAGAAAGAUAUUCAGGUUUAUGUUGAAGGAUACUAAAAUUGUAUCUGUUUAUGGCUACAAAAUUCUUCUGUACUAUUUUUUUUUCAAACUGACUUAAUGUUAAUGUAGAGCUGAAUCUCCAGAAUUUUUCAAUAAACAUUUCAGAAUGUCAAAGAUAUUUGAAGUGAUGUCAUGGAACAACUUGACAUUUCUUAGCUCUAUAUGGAUUAAAACUGAGAUUAAUGUAAGGGAUGAAUCAAUAUGGACCAAACCAUUAAGUGUGCCUUAUAAAAAUUAAUCUGCUGAAAUUGAAAAUACACAUUUAAAGUCCUACUAGCUUAAAUUUUGCCUAAUGACAAUUCUAGCUGCUUCCAGAAAGGGAUAGUUAGUAGAUGAAAUCAGAAUUGAGUUUCAGAAUGUUGCAAUUGGAACCAAAAACACUGAGGAAAGGGAUUUGUGUGAAACAAGCCACUAAAAGAACCAAGGCACUGCAUAUCCCAACUCUUUAAAUUAUUAAGUAUUACAAAGGUGAGAAGUUAAUUAAUUAGACUCUCAAAAGAAACAAUAUAAUCUCACCAAACUCUUCACUCUGACAAUACUCCCACUGCACUAUCUUGUAAGAUAUUUCUUUUCAAGAGAAUAGUCAGCACUUAGACAAAAGUUUCUUUUAAAAAUAAAACUGAAAUCAACAAACUAAGGAUUUCAGGGCCAUGGAAAGUUAAAUAAAGCCUGAAGAGUUUACAAAUAUUAGCAGCAGUUAUUGUUUAAGAUAGUGGGAAAGGUUAAGGAAAACUAUAUGGAUGACAAAGAUAAAACCUUGCAUAAUUAAGAAACAAUUUGCAUAACCUGGUAACUAUUGAGAUCUGAUUUCUCUCUCGGUUUAUUUGGGUUUGUUUUUUCCCAGGUAUGACCUUGUUUUCGCCCCAAAAAAGCAAUUAUUGGAAUAAGUACUAGUGCAUGAGAAUGCUAACAGGACAGGUAAUGUUUGGUGGAGUAAAUAAUGGUUUCAUUUUGAGAAUCAUGACAGAUUUUAACUAAAUUCUAGAGUUACUCAAAUGUAUAUAAAAUGCUUUUUUAUAUAAACUUAACAUAUCCAAAUGAGGAAAAAUCUUAAAGCAAUUUGAUUGUUGUAUGCCUACUGUACUGAGAAGAACCUACAAGGUAUUAUUUGGAACCAAAGCAGGAGGGGUUUUUUUUGCACUCUUUUGGAGUCAGGAGUUUUGUAUUUUUACUCUUUAAAUAUAUGAUAUUUAUAGAAGUCCUCAAAUCCUUCUGGGUCACCCCAUGUUGAUCUGAGUCACAAGCAUCAGUGCAAACAAUAGUUUAUCCAAAAUUUAUAUUACUUCAAACUAGCACCAUUGAUCCUGACCCUAGGAGAGGCAGAAUUGGGACUAAAACUGACAAAGAAAUGGCAAUCUGGGCAAAACCUCUGGUGACCUGUGAAUGCAUAAGAUUUCCAGGUCAUUCUCUGUCUGUCAGAGCAAUAUAGAAACAUAGCUAUGGUUACAUAAUUGUUAUAGUGGUCACCUUAGGGUCUCUUUUAGAUAAAACUGAUGCAAGCUUUGCAGAUACAUUUCCUGAUUAAACACACAUAAAGUCUCUUGAAGUUCGGGAUUUCAAAAAAAUCUUUAACAUUUUAGGUUUUCAUUACUAGAAUUGUUGAUAUCAUUUCAAGGUAAGGUAAUAAUGUAAUUUGUUCAUGUAAAGUCAAUAUAAUCUCAUUAUAACAUUGCUGUUGAUUUUACCUAACGUUUAUAAAUCACAUCAUAAUGGAAAUUAAGUCAUAACUAUAGAACUUUAAAAAAGAAUCAAUAUCUCCUUUUUGUUAUUAAUUAUUUUCAAGGAAAAGAAAAUUUUCUCUAGACUUAUUUAAAAAAUCUUUUUUUUUUCUCUCAUUUAAUGUUGCUGCUGCCUUUGAAUCAUUAAGACAAUUUCCUUGCGGGCCACCAUUCUCUGCUAAGUUCCAUCAGGCUGUAAAAUCCUGUAAACUAAGAGUGUGGUAGAAAUUUUUUUUGUUCUGUUGCUGUUCUCAAAAAAUAAAAAUAAAUAAAUUUCAAAGGUUUAAAAUUACCACCUCUUCUACAAAACAUAAGUACAGAUGUUUUGAAAGUUUCCAAGAGUGACAUGACAAGCACUUGGGUUUGCUUAUUGUUUUUCCAUAUUCUGUAUCAAUGUCUAUGUGCAUAAUUUUAUACAUGCACUCUCUGCUUGUUUCCUGUUGAAUUGAAUUAUAUGAAAUAAACAUUGG
ensembl:lncRNA